rnacentral:rRNA from 1 species
GACGUAGGGCGCGAGCGUCGUCCGGAUUUAUUGGGCGUAAAGAGCUCGUAGGCGGCUUGUCGCGUCGAAUGUGAAAUCCUGCGGCUCAACUGCAGGCUUGCAUUCGAUACGGGCAGGCUCGAGUUCGGUAGGGGAGACUGGAAUUCCUGGUGUAGCGGUGAAAUGCGCAGAUAUCAGGAGGAACACCGGUGGCGAAGGUGGGUCUCUGGGCCGAUACUGACGCUGAGGAGCGAAAGCGUGGGGAGCGAACAGG